ACGGGAGGCAGCAGUGGGGAAUAUUGCACAAUGGGGGAAACCCUGAUGCAGCAACGCCGCGUGAAGGAAGACGGUUUUCGGAUUGUAAACUUCUUUUCUUAGCGAAGAACAAAUGACGGUAACUAAGGAAUAAGCAUCGGCUAACUACGUGCCAGCAGCCGCGGUAAUACGUAGGAUGCAAGCGUUAUCCGGAUUUACUGGGUGUAAAGGGAGCGCAGGCGGGACUUCAAGUUGGAUGUGAAAUGCCAAGGCUUAACCAUGGCCCUGCAUCCAAAACUGUAGUUCUUGAGUGGAGUAGAGGUAAGCGGAAUUCCGAGUGUAGCGGUGAAAUGCGUAGAUAUUCGGAGGAACACCAGUGGCGAAGGCGGCUUACUGGGCUCUAACUGACGCUGAGGCUCGAAAGUGUGGGGAGCAAACAGGAUUAGAUACCCUGGUA
rnacentral:rRNA from 1 species